AUAGGAGGUCCAGCCUGCCCAAAGACCAUGUGUUUAACGGCUGCGGUAUUUUAACCGUGCGAAGGUAGCGUGAUCACUUGUCUUUUAAAUGGAGACCCGUAUGAAUGGUUAAACGAGGGCUUAGCUGUCUCCUCUUUCAUGUCAAUGAAAUUGAUUUUUCCGUGCAAAGGCGGGAAUUAUCUCAUAAGACGAGAAGACCCUGUGAAGCUUUAGAUGACAAAAUAGAUUUAGUUGACGGCUCCCUGAUAAAGGACUAAGUCACACAAUCCCUGUUUUAGCGUCUUCGGUUGGGGCGACCACGGGGAGUUACGUAACCCCCGCGUGGAUUGGGUGCAAGAAUGUUAUUGUUCCUAAAGCCAAGAGCCUCUGCUCUAAUAAACAGAAUUUCUGACCUUGUAAGAUCCGGCAAUGCUGAUUAACGAACCAAGUUACUCCAGGGAUAACAGCGCCAUCCUCUUUCAGAGCCCUAAUCGACAAGAGGGUUUACGACCUCGAUGUUGGAUCAGGACAUCCUAAUGGUGUAGCCGCUAUUAAGGGUUCGUUUGUUCAACGAUUAAUAGUCCUACGUGAUCUGAGUUCAGACCGGAAG
rnacentral:rRNA from 1 species